UACGUAGGGUGCAAGCGUUAUCCGGAAUUAUUGGGCGUAAAGAGCUCGUAGGCGGUUUGUCGCGUCUGCUGUGAAAUCCCGCGGCUCAACCGCGGGUCUGCAGUCGAUACGGGCAGGCUAGAGUUCGGUAGGGGAGACUGGAAUUCCUGGUGUAGCGGUGAAAUGCGCAGAUAUCAGGAGGAACACCGAUGGCGAAGGCAGGUCUCUGGGCCGAUACUGACGCUGAGGAGCGAAAGCGUGGGGGAGCGAACAGG
rnacentral:rRNA from 1 species